GCCGGCGUAGCUCAAGGGCAGAGCAGCCGCCUUGUAAGCGGCAGGUUAAGGGUUCGAUUCCCUUCGCCGGCUCCA
rnacentral:tRNA from 1 species